UACGAAGGGGGCUAGCGUUGCUCGGAAUCACUGGGCGUAAAGGGUGCGUAGGCGGGUCUUUAAGUCAGGGGUGAAAUCCUGGAGCUCAACUCCAGAACUGCCUUUGAUACUGAGGAUCUUGAGUUCGGGAGAGGUGAGUGGAACUGCGAGUGUAGAGGUGAAAUUCGUAGAUAUUCGCAAGAACACCAGUGGCGAAGGCGGCUCACUGGACUGGUUCUGACGCUGAUGCGCGAAAGCGUGGGGAGCAAACGGGG
rnacentral:rRNA from 1 species